rnacentral:tmRNA from 1 species
GGGGGCGACUUGGAUUCGACGCGGGUCGUGAAACCCUAGGUGCAUGCCGAGGAUGCAGCUCAACCUCGUAAAACCUGCUGCCAACUUAAAAUAGUUGCCAACGACGAAAACUACGCUCUGGCGGCGUAAACCCCGCCAGCCGCAUUUGAUCCAGUGCUUGUGCUGAUCAAAUUGCGGUCGUAGCUCACAAGCUAGCCACAGGGCGCUGUCCCGAGCCCUGUCGCGAAACUCAAGGGACUCGCUGUCGGCAACCUUGCCUACCGGGGUGUCGGCAGUUAAAUCAAAGGGUGGGGCUAAGCAUGUAGACCCGAAGGUAGAUCAUCCGCGGACGCGGGUUCGAUUCCCGCCGCCUCCACCA